rnacentral:ncRNA from 1 species
CUGCGGGCCACGCCCCCCCACCGGGGCGCAUUCGCUUCUGGAAGGGAGCUGCAU